AUUGAACGCUGGCGGCAUGCUUUACACAUGCAAGUCGAACGGCAGCGCGGGCUUCGGCCUGGCGGCGAGUGGCGAACGGGUGAGUAAUGCAUCGGAACGUGCCCAGUAGUGGGGGAUAGCCCGGCGAAAGCCGGAUUAAUACCGCAUACGACCUGAGGGUGAAAGCGGGGGACCGAAAGGCCUCGCGCUAUUGGAGCGGCCGAUGUCGGGUUAGCUAGUUGGUGGGGGAAAGGCUUACCAAGGCGACGAUCCGUAGCUGGUCUGAGAGGACGACCAGCCACACGGGGACGGAGACACGGCCCAGACUCCUACGGGAGGCAGCAGUGGGGAAUUUUGGACAAUGGGGGCAACCCUGAUCCAGCCAUGCCGCGUGCGGGAAGAAGGCCUUCGGGUUGUAAACCGCUUUUGUUCGGGAAGAAAUCCUCUGGGCUAAUACCCCGGGGGGAUGACGGUACCGGAAGAAUAAGCACCGGCUAACUACGUG
rnacentral:rRNA from 1 species